rnacentral:rRNA from 1 species
UUGAACGCUGGCGGCAUGCCUUACACAUGCAAGUCGAACGGCAGCACGGAGCUUGCUCUGGUGGCGAGUGGCGAACGGGUGAGUAAUAUAUCGGAACGUACCCUAGAGUGGGGGAUAACGUAGCGAAAGUUACGCUAAUACCACAUACGAUCUAAGGAUGAAAGUGGGGGAUCGCAAGACCUCAUGCUCGUGGAGCGGCCGAUAUCUGAUUAGCUAGUUGGUAGGGUAAAAGCCUACCAAGGCAUCGAUCGGUAGCUGGUCUGAGAGGACGACCAGCCACACUGGAACUGAGACACGGUCCAGACUCCUACGGGAGGCAGCAGUGGGGAAUUUUGGACAAUGGGCGAAAGCCUGAUCCAGCGAUGCCGCGUGAGUGAAGAAGGCCUUCGGGUUGUAAAGCUCUUUUGUCAGGGAAGAAACGGUGAGAGCUAAUAUCUCUUGCUAAUGACGGUACCUGAAGAAUAAGCACCGGCUAACUACGU